rnacentral:lncRNA from 1 species
CAAAACUCCUACCUUCUGCUUUAUUCCUUUCUUCUCUGACAAGAAGAAUACACUUUGGACUGAAAAGGGUAAAGUGAGCAUUUGUGAGAAUGAAGUGAAUAAACUCACGGUGGAUAAAAAGAUUGUAAGACUACACAUAUUUGCUUUACAUGAGUUCAAACCCUCUGAGCCAUCUAAAUUACACACCAGAGUCUCAAGAGAAGCUCUAAAUGGGAAAACUGUCAUUGAUCUUUCACACGCAUGUAAGGACAAAAGAGCUUCUAAAAGACUGGAGAGACGGGCAAAUUCUAUCAAUAUUUAAAAAGAAGAAUAAGGUUUAUUCCACAAACCACUUACCAGAAGGCUUCCAUUGUGACCUGCCAAAAACAUGAAAAUCCCUUUAGACUAAAAGUUUCACGGUCUAAGAUGUGAGUCUUUUGCUAUGCUUCAUCUUUAGAGGAAGUUUUGGAAAUGGAAGCAGGAAAAGCAGAAGACAGGUCACUGCACAGACAAGGUCUUCCUUUAAUAGAUGGUCAGACCAGGAGAGAGCCUCAAACAUCAUAAUUCUACAGAGCCGGAGUUGACAGUGAAUAAUGACCAGGGGAGUGGUCAAUAAGACAGGAAAACAAGACUUGAGAAAUGGGGAGGAGUCAAAUCAUGAAGAACAGCUGAUACCAUGUCAGAGCGUGUGGAUUUUGUCUGGAAGAGCUUGUCUUUGGCCACCUGUGUCCUCAGCAGCUGGGAAAUGCAGACAGUGGACAGUAGGCAGCAGAGGGAAGAACCACUUCUGGAAUGGAAUCUGAGCUACAGAAGAUUCCAUCAACGAGCAGAAAGAGGUAGGCGUGCCAUGUCUUGUUAAUAGCAUUGAUCAUGUCUGGAAGUCACAGGUCAACAUGGUAAAGGCUACAAGGGAAAUAUAAUCCACGUUUUUGAAUCCUCCUGAAAACAUUGACUUAAGUCUCUCUCCUAGGCCUCCAUAUCAGAAGUGAUUUUUAAAAUAUUUAUAUCUAUACAGGUUUAAUUUUUUUUAAUAAAAGAAUGCAAUACACCCCA